GACAGAGGGGGCAAGCGUUGCUCGGAAUCACUGGGCGUAAAGGGCGCGUAGGCGGGAUGGCAAGUCGGUCGUGAAAUCCCUGGGCUCAACUCAGGGGGGUCGGCCGAUACUGCUGUUCUUGAGGGAUGCAGAGGAGACUGGAAUUCCCGGUGUAGCGGUGAAAUGUGUAGAGAUCGGGAGGAACACCGGUGGCGAAGGCGGGUCUCUGGGACGGUACUGACGCUGAGACGCGAAAGCGUGGGGAGCGAACAGG
rnacentral:rRNA from 1 species